CGGACGGGUGAGUAACGCGUGAGAAUCUGCCUUCAGGAGGGGGAUAACGGCUGGAAACGGCCGCUAAUACCCCAUAUGCCGCGAGGUGAAAUGAGAAAUCGCCUGAGGAUGAGCUCGCGUCUGAUUAGCUAGUUGGUGGGGUAAGAGCCUACCAAGGCAUCGAUCAGUAGCUGGUCUGAGAGGAUGAUCAGCCACACUGGGACUGAGACACGGCCCAGACUCCUACGGGAGGCAGCAGUGGGGAAUUUUCCGCAAUGGGCGCAAGCCUGACGGAGCAACGCCGCGUGAGGGAUGAAGGCCUCUGGGCUGUAAACCUCUUUUCUCAAGGAAGAAGAACUGACGGUACUUGAGGAAUAAGCCACGGCUAAUUCCGUGCCAGCAGCCGCGGUAAUACGGGAGUGGCAAGCGUUAUCCGGAAUUAUUGGGCGUAAAGCGUCCGCAGGCGGUCUUGAAAGUCUGUUGUUAAAGCGUGGAGCUCAACUCCAUUUCAGCAAUGGAAACUAGAAGACUAGAGUGUGGUAGGGGCAGAGGGAAUUCCCGGUGUAGCGGUGAAAUGCGUAGAUAUCGGGAAGAACACCAGUGGCGAAGGCGCUCUGCUGGGCCAUAACUGACGCUCAUGGACGAAAGCCAGGGGAGCGAAAGGGAUUAGAUACCCCUGUAGUCCUGGCCGUAAACGAUGAACACUAGGUGUCGGGGGAAUCGACCCCCUCGGUGUCGUAGCCAACGCGUUAAGUGUUCCGCCUGGGGAGUACGCACGCAAGUGUGAAACUCAAAGGAAUUGACGGGGGCCCGCACAAGCGGUGGAGUAUGUGGUUUAAUUUGGAUCAACGCGAAGAACCUUACCAGGGUUUGACAUCCCUGCGAAUCUUUUGGAAAACCAGAAGAGUGCCUUCGGGAGCGCAGAGACAGGUGGUGCAUGGCUGUCGUCAGCUCGUGUCGUGAGAUGUUGGGUUAAGUCCCGCAACGAGCGCAACCCACGUCUUUAGUUGCCCAGCAUUGAGUUGGGCACUCUAGAGAGACCGCCGGUGAUAAACCGGAGGAAGGUGUGGAUGACGUCAAGUCAUCAUGCCCCUUACAUCCUGGGCUACACACGUACUACAAUGCUACGGACAGAGGGCAGCAAACUCGCGAGAGCUAGCAAAUCCCAUAAACCGUGGCUCAGUUCAGAUCGUAGGCUGCAACUCGCCUACGUGAAGGAGGAAUCGCUAGUAAUCGCAGGUCAGCAUACUGCGGUGAAUACGUUCCCGGGCCUUGUACACACCGCCCGUCACACCAUGGAAGUUGGCCAUGCCCGAAGUCGUUACUCCAACCCUUGUGGAGGAGGACGCCGAAGGUGGGGCUGAUGACUGGGGGAA
rnacentral:rRNA from 1 species